GACGAACGCUGGCGGCGUGCCUAAUACAUGCAAGUCGAGCGGACUUAAAAGGAGCUUGCUUCUUUUAAGUUAGCGGCGGACGGGUGAGUAACACGUGGGCAACCUGCCCUAUAGUUUGGGAUAACUCCGGGAAACCGGGGCUAAUACCGAAUAAUACAUUUUAACUCCUGUUAGAAUGUUGAAAGAUGGUUUACGCUAUCGCUAUAGGAUGGGCCCGCGGCGCAUUAGCUAGUAGGUGAGGUAACGGCUCACCUAGGCGACGAUGCGUAGCCGACCUGGGAGAGUGAUCGGCCACACUGGGACCGGGACACGGCCCAGACUCCUACGGGAGGCAGCAGUAGGGAAUCUUCCACAAUGGACGAAAGUCUGAUGGAGCAACGCCGCGUGAGUGAAGAAGGUUUUCGGAUCGUAAAACUCUGUUGUAAGGGAAGAAUAAGUGCAGUAGUAACUGGCUGCACCUUGACGGUACCUUAUUAGAAAGCCACGGCUAACUACGUGCCAGCCGCCGCAGUAAUAC
rnacentral:rRNA from 1 species